rnacentral:rRNA from 1 species
GCUCAGAUUGAACGCUGGCGGCAGGCCUAACACAUGCAAGUCGAGCGGCAGCGACAUAGACAAUCCUUCGGGUGCGCUUAUGGGCGGCGAGCGGCGGACGGGUGAGUAAUGCCUGGGAAUAUGCCCUGAUGUGGGGGAUAACCAUUGGAAACGAUGGCUAAUACCGCAUAAUCUCUUCGGAGCAAAGAGGGGGACCUUCGGGCCUCUCGCGUCAGGAUUAGCCCAGGUGAGAUUAGCUAGUUGGUGAGGUAAGAGCUCACCAAGGCGACGAUCUCUAGCUGGUCUGAGAGGAUGAUCAGCCACACUGGAACUGAGACACGGUCCAGACUCCUACGGGAGGCAGCAGUGGGGAAUAUUGCACAAUGGGGGAAACCCUGAUGCAGCCAUGCCGCGUGUGUGAAGAAGGCCUUCGGGUUGUAAAGCACUUUCAGUUGUGAGGAAGGCAUAUACGUUAAUAGCGUAUGUGUUUGACGUUAGCAACAGAAGAAGCACCGGCUAACUCCGUGCCAGCAGCCGCGGUAAUACGGAGGGUGCGAGCGUUAAUCGGAAUUACUGGGCGUAAAGCGCAUGCAGGCGGCUUGUUAAGCCAGAUGUGAAAGCCCGGGGCUCAACCUCGGAAUAGCAUUUGGAACUGGCAGGCUAGAGUCUUGUAGAGGGGGGUAGAAUUUCAGGUGUAGCGGUGAAAUGCGUAGAGAUCUGAAGGAAUACCGGUGGCGAAGGCGGCCCCCUGGACAAAGACUGACGCUCAGAUGCGAAAGCGUGGGGAGCAAACAGGAUUAGAUACCCUGAUAGUCCACGCCGUAAACGAUGUCUACUUGGAGGUUGGAACCUUGAGCUCUGGCUUUUCGGAGCUAACGCAUUAAGUAGACCGCCUGGGGAGUACGGUCGCAAAGAUUAAAACU